rnacentral:tRNA from 1 species
CUGAAUGGACGGGCCUCGAUCCCGCG